ACCUCCGAGUGGGGAAUAACUGAGAGAAAUCUUAGCUAAUACCGCAUAACACUUACGAGUCAAAGCAGCAAUGCGCUUGGAGAGGAGUUCGCGGCAGAUUAGUUAGUUGGCGGGGUAAUGGCCCACCAAGACGAUGAUCUGUAUCCGGCCUGAGAGGGCGCACGGACACACUGGAACUGAAACACGGUCCAGACUCCUACGGGAGGCAGCAGUGGGGAAUUUUGCGCAAUGGGGGAAACCCUGACGCAGCAACGCCGCGUGGAGGAUGAAAUCCCUUGGGAUGUAAACUCCUUUCGAUAGGGAAGAUAAUGACGGUACCUAUAGAAGAAGCCCCGGCUAACUUCGUGCC
rnacentral:rRNA from 1 species